rnacentral:rRNA from 1 species
UAGGGAAUUUUACGCAAUGGGCGAAAGCCUAACGUAGCGACACCGCGUGAACGAAGAAGCCUUUUGGGGUGUAAAGUUCUGUCGGCUGGGAAGAAAAAAAUGACGGUACCAGCAAAGGAAGCAUCGGCUAACUACGUGCCAGCAGCCGCGGUAAGACGUAGGGGGCCAGCGUUGUUCGGAAUUACUGGGUGUAAAGGGUUCGUAGGCGGUGUGGCAAGUUGGGAGUGAAAUCUCUGGGCUCAACCCAGAGGCUGCUUCCAAAACUGCCGUGCUUGAGUGUGAGAGAGGCUCGUGGAAUUGCAGGUGUAGCGGUGAAAUGCGUAGAUAUCUGCAGGAACACCCGUGGCGAAAGCGGCGAGCUGGAUCACUACUGACGCUGAGGAACGAAAGCUAGGGGAGCAAACAGGAUUAGAUACCCUGGUAGUCCUAGCCCUAAACGAUCAGGACUUGGGGUGCCGCCCGUUCGGGCGUCGUCCCGGAGCUAACGCGUUAAGUCCUGCACCUGGGGAGUACGGUCGCAAGACUG